rnacentral:miRNA from 1 species
UCGGCUGCCAGGUUCAUGUGG